AUACAGAGGGUGCGAGCGUUAAUCGGAAUUACUGGGCGUAAAGCGCGCGUAGGCGGCAUGGUAAGUCGGAUGUGAAAGCCCCGGGCUCAACCUGGGAAUGGCAUUCGAUACUGCCAGGCUAGAGUAUGGGAGAGGGAAGUGGAAUUUCCGGUGUAGCGGUGAAAUGCGUAGAUAUCGGAAGGAACACCAGUGGCGAAGGCGACUUCCUGGCCCAAUACUGACGCUGAGGUGCGAAAGCGUGGGGAGCGAACAGGAUUAGAAACCCUAGUAGUCC
rnacentral:rRNA from 1 species